CCUACGUGUGUCAGCAGUGAGGAAUAUUGGUCAAUGGGCGCGAGCCUGAACCAGCCAAGUAGCGUGAAGGAUGACUGCCCUACGGUUUGUAAACUUCUUUUAUAAAGGAAUACAGUGCGGCACGUGUGCCUUUUUGUAUGUACUUUAUGAUUAAGGAUCGUCUAACUCCGUGCCAGCAGCGGCGGUAAUACGGAGGAUCCGAGCGUUAUCCGGAUUUAUUGGGUUGAACGGGAGUGUAGAUGGGUUGUUAAGUCAGUUGGGAAAGUUUGGGGCACAACCGUAAAAUGGCAAGUGAUACUGGCAGUCUUGAGUACAGUAGAGGUAGGCGGAAUUCGUGGUGUAGCGGUGAAAUGCUUAGAUAUCACGAAGAACUCCGAUUGCGAAGGCAGCUUACUAAACUGCCACUGACAUUGAUGCUCGAAAGUGUGGGUAGCAAACAGGAUUAGAUACCCGGGUAGUC
rnacentral:rRNA from 1 species